UGACGAGUGGCGGACGGGUGAGUAAUGUCUGGGAAACUGCCCGAUAGAGGGGGAUAACUACUGGAAACGGUAGCUAAUACCGCAUAACCUCGCAAGAGCAAAGUGGGGGACCUUCGGGCCUCACGCUAUCGGAUGUGCCCAGAUGGGAUUAGCUUGCUGGUAGGGUAAUGGCCUACCAGGGCGACGAUCCCUAGCUGGUCUGAGAGGAUGACCAGCCACACUGGAACUGAGACACGGUCCAG
rnacentral:rRNA from 1 species